CGAAUUAACCAUACGGUGCGUUUCGUUUUUUUAUGCAUCUCCUCCCCGUGUUUUCCAAGUCCUCCCCCAUCUGUAGACUGAAACCAUCCCUAACCCUAACCCCUCCCUAACCCGUCGCAGUCCCUCCCCCAUCGGAAAUGAUCCCUAACCCUAACGUUCCUUUUCCAUUCACCCGUAGCUUUCCCUUGUUCCAGGAUCUGCCUUGAUAUCCCCUGUCGCAUUCCGAACCCCACAAGUCACAACACCUGAGUGCCAUUUUGUUCUUCUUCUUGUUCUUCUUCUUUAAUCUCUGAACACGCCCUAAAACCUUCACUGGAAACCCUAGAAAUUAGUGCUUGAAAUGGACAUGCAGAGGCGUGUGGUCAAUUCAACAUUUAUCGAGAAUAUAUUUACUCAAUCCAGAAUCAAAAUCGAGAUGAGUUCUCUUGAAUCCUCUUACCUAUUAGUUCAUAAUGCUUCUUUGAAAUUUUGUCAUAAAUGUUGACUCUUCUGCUGGUUAGACGGUUACCAGUUGGAGAUGGAAUCUGGAUAGCUCGCCAUAAAUAUGUUGAUAGUGAAUAUGUACUUGAUUAUAUUGUUGAAAGGAAGAAUGUUGAUGAUUUACACUGUUCCAUCAGGGAUAAUCGAUAUUGGGACCAAAAACUUAGGCUUUUGGUAUUUCAAAUAACUCAAUGCCUUAUAUUUCUUUCUUGAAGUUUCCCUGCAACUGUUAUUUCUGGUGUUAAAAUUUGCUACACACACAUACAUGAAUGGAUGGUUGCUUUGAGAGUAAAAAAACUCUUGCUCUUGUGGUCUGUUGAGCAUGCUUAAGGAUAGAGCAUUUGAAGUUCUUUCCUAGUAAUUUUAGUAUUAGGAUUUCAGUUUGCAUGUGCAAGAAUUUGCUACUCUGUCUCAUCUUCUGCUUAUGUUUAUCUUUAAUUUAUAUCAUCCUGACUUUUUUGGGUGUUAAGUUGCUUUUUGUAAGAGGUGUGGACUUAAGAGGCUGAAAUAUCUUGUGGAGGAUGACCCAAAUUCUUUCGAAGUUGCCGAAAGCAUCAAAACAACUAAUACAAGAACCAUGGAGAAAUGAUAAAUUUGAUUCACGCCUGUUGCAUCCCAGGAGGGCGACCGAAGUGCACAAGAGGAGAUGCUUAGCAGGCAGAGUAAAGAUGUGAUCAAUUUAGUUGCUAGUAAGAAUAUAUUCAACUUAGUCCGGGGCAAAUGAGUGUUUUAAUCCCCUUGAACUAACAAUGCUUCAUGGGCUCUGAAGCUUGUAUUUCAUGAUGCAAAAGCAAUUUGCUUUAAACUUCAAGGAGAUUUCACAAUUGAGCACUAUAAAUAAGAGAUGAGAGUGUGGAGGAUUUGUUGAAGAGCUUUCUUAUGUUGAGCAGUGCUCUGUUUAAUUAUUAGGACUUGGACGUUAUUUCACAUUCUCUAUUGAAAUGUUCAGAAAAGAUAUGCCAAUCA